GACAGCAUGUGGAAGGAGUCGGAGAGCAUCGCCAGGGACGUGGUCACCCGGCUCACCACCACCUCCAGGACCAUGAACAUGAAGCUUGUCAUGGACAUCAGCCUUAAGAGUCAAGUUCUCACCGGUGCCUUCCUAUGAGAGAAGAAGCCUGGGCAACUGGAAAAUAAGUUGGAAUGUAAAUUCUGAAAGAACAAAGACUCUGCCUCUUGUCCACUGCUGUUCCCGGAGGCUGGAACGUCUAAGAAACCCUCGGUUGGACUUGCCUGGUGGUCCGGUGGUUAAGACUCUGCCUGCCAGCGCAGGGGACACGUGUUUGACCCCUGGUCCGGGAAGACACCCCAAAUGUCGCAGAGAAGCUAAAGCCCGUGUGCCACCGCUUCUGAAGCCUGUGCACCCUGGGGCCUGUGCUCCACAACAAGAGAGGCCCCCACUAGAAGCCCUACGAGUGCAACCGCAGCUCGAGAGCAGCCCCUGCUCGCCGCAGCCAGAGAAAGCCCGCACGCAGCAACAGAGACC